CAGUGCCUCUCCCUCCGCCCACUCGGCCGCCACGUGGCAGCCGAGUGGGGGCCUCGGGGCAGCGC
rnacentral:pre_miRNA from 1 species